AAUUGAGGUGAUGAUAUUGUCUUCCGAAUUCAUCUGUGUCGACUAUAAAUUAUCAGACUACAAUUAUCUGAUCAAUU